UCAGGGCCUCGGGGAAGGACGUGGAGGGGCUGCAAGCCAGCGAACCCCUCCGCUGCCCCUACCCACGGGUCGCCAGUGCAGCCGUCUCCGAGGGCGGCUGCCAUUGCCUCGCUUUGAGGGCACAAUGAAUACAUAAAAAACCCCAAACCCUGGGAAAUCUGCUGUCCCUUAGAGCGUGAACCCUCUGGUGCAGGGGGGAACCUCUUUGGGGAGCGGGCACCCGCCGCUGGCCCCAGGGAGGGGAGAAGGAAUGUGGGGGGCUUCCCUGUCUUUCAUUUUACCAUUCUUCCCCUUGAAGGCGAAAUGCAACACUCAACGUCCCACCCUAGAGUGUGGGGUGUGACCUACCUGAGGGCCACCUGUGAGGAUGUAAAGGACGGGUAAAGCUGGCCCAGGUGGGGCGGUUGGUGCAGAGGGGCUGCGGAGGAGCUCGGCGCUCUCCCCUGUCCCUGGUGCCCACUUGCUGUGUGAUCUUGGGUCAAUGACCUCCCUUUUCUGGGCCUCGGAAGAGGUUUGACUAGAUGACCCAAGGAUCUUUGCAGAGGCAAAAAGCCUGUGAGGUUUGAAAAGUUUCCCUUGCAGUGUCCCCCCAGGCCUAGGGCAUACCUUGUUCAACUUUAUUUUUACGUAGUCCUUGAGCAGCUACUGGGUGGGUGCCAGGCACCACUGGACUAGGGACAAGAGAAAGGGAGUUAUCUCCACCCUAUGGAGGAUGAGAUUAAGAACCCAUCACAGGGAUCCCUGGGUGGCGCAGUGGUUUAGCGCCUGCCUUUGGCCCAGGGCGUGAUCCUGGAGACCCGGGAUCGAAUCCCACGUCGGGCUCCCGGUGCAUGGAGCCUGCUUCUCCCUCUGCCUGUGUCUCUGCCUCUCUCUCUCUGUGACUAUCAUAAAUGAAUAAAAAUUAAGAAAAAGAGAACCCAUCAGAGAAUGUUACAGCCCAGACACUAAAUGGGACAAGCUCUAGAAUCAUGGUGAACACAAGGAUUUGUCCCCCCCUCUCUGUGAAGAAACAUUUUGUCCCAAUGACAGAGUUUUUCCCACAUUCCAGAAGUCUCCCCUGUCCAGCACUACGGCCAAACAGGGAUCAGUGCCCACACCCCCAGUUCUCCUUGGCAUGUCAAUCAGCCAGUCACUGCGAGACGAACACUGUCCCGGCUCUGCAGCCUCCUCCAGGCAGUGGGGAUGGGAUGUCUCCACACAUGGGAUCCUGGUAGCAGCCUGGCAUGGGGGGGUGGGGAGGACAGUCAGCCCCCAUCUUGCCAGCAGCUUACUGCCAUGUGAGUGUGACCUGGCCGCCUCCCUGACUCUCUGGGCUUCUCUUUCUCCAACCAUUAAGGGAAAGUUUAGGGCCAGAUCUAGGAUCCCGUUUCAGCUCAGUUGUGUGAUUAUAUUUUAGAUUUAGAGGUAUUAACUGAAAUUAGAAGCAAUGUCUUGAUGGAGGAAGCCAGAUAGUCUGUCCCUCUGUUGUACCUACGUGCUGCUCACACCCAGGUCACCCAUAUAUGCUGCCUCUCCUGCUAGCCCACACUAAACAUGCAAACUCCUGCCCACAUGCCGUACUUUCCUCUGGGGAGGCCACGUCUUGCCCCGAUGAUCCAUCUGACCCAGUUAGAGAAACAGAAGCAAGAGAAGGAGGCAGUGCUGCUUCCUUGAGUACUGGCCCAGCUGGCUACAGGGAAGCUCUUGGACAGAGGCCCUUGGCCUUGGGUCUGGGAGUUAGCAGGGCCUGAGUCAUUAAACCCAGCUCCUAACCUGGAUUUGAGAAGAUAAAUCGGUGAUGACUAAACCUGGCCUUAUUCAUAUGCAUGGCACUAAUGUCUUUCUGCAUGUUUUCGGUAGACUCUGUCGUCUCUGGUACUAUUUCUUUCCUUGGAGAGAAGCAACAGAUCCUUGUAAACUACGUGGUGGCUCCACCUAACGCGGAGGGUCAUCUGCUACUGCGCCGAGUUUCUUCCCAGAAACACAGAGUUGACUAUGGAGUGAGGCUCACAGCAUCCAGUUCCAUGAGGACUUGGGAGACGGGCACACCCGAAAAUGCUGUCUGGGUUGGAGCCACCUGAAGGACCUGGGUCUGGAGGAAGCCAGAAGUCCCAGGAAGAGCCCAGCUGGGAGCUGAGCUGGGAAGAGUUAGAACCAGCUGGACAAGAAAAAAGAGAAGCGACACAGAUUGUAUUUUUUUACAAAGGCAGCGGCUCCAAUGUGUCAGCCCCCUCUUCAAGAGUGAAGUGGAAUCUGGGCUGCCUUGCGGCUUGUUUAAACCUACAGAAUGUGGCAAAGGCAGGGCAGCUGGAAGCUUCCACCUCGCGAGCUGGGAUGCUAGCCUUUGGAGCCCUGGGUCACCUUGAAAGGUGGGAAGCUGUCUGGAGGCCACCACGCUGGGGGAACCCCAGGCCAGGUGAAGGGCCCACGUAUAGGUGCUCUGCUCACAGCCAAGCUGAGCUCCCAGUGAGCGGAUAGCCGAUGCCAACACAUACAAUCCAGCCCCAAGCCAGGGAGUCACUCGGCCGCCACCUCUUCCCCACUGAGGACCCAGACAUCGUAGAGCAAAGACAAACCUGGCCCUACCGUCCAUGACCCACCAAAUCUGCACAUGUAAUAGAUGGUUGUGUUACCCCCAGCAAAGUUUGGGGGUAAAGCCCCCAUAGCCAUAUAAAACUGAAACAGACAGCUAUAAUAUUCUUACAAAAAAAUUCUGAGUGGGGUGCCUGGGUGGUUCCAUUGGUUAAGUGUCUGACUCUUGGUUUUGGCUCAGGUAAUGAUCUCAGGGGUCAUGGGAUCGAGCCCCGUGUCAGGCUCUGGGCUCAGCAAGGAAUCUACUUGAGAUUCUCUCUCUCCCUCUGCCCUUCCCUCAACUGAUCCACUCUCCGCCCUGCCCUCCAUCUAAAAUAAAUAAAUCUUUUUAAAAAAAUAUUUGGAGCUGGGUGGGCCUGCAUACCCUGGUGAGCAGCUCUCUCUGGAAGGACCCAGCUGGAGGUCUAGCACAGGAGGCACAGAGUGCGCCCUGGUGACAGUGCACGCAUGAGAAUCCCAGCCCUCUCUGGCAAGUCAGUUCAUUACCUUGAAUCUCAGUCUUUUCAUCUCUAAAUGGGGAAAAUAAUAGAAGUCGUGUCUUGGGGUUGCCACGGAGAUUAAAUGAGAUGAUUUAUGCACAACACCUAUCUACUGAGUUUGACACCUGAAAUGGAAAACUUUUUAACACCCUCCUCCUUGAUACAACAAAGUUGUUUUCUGCUAAUAAUGUCUGUAAAAACCAGCAGCAAUUAUUACUUUCUUUAUUUGUUCUCUAGGUUUAAAACAACAAAAAAAUCGUUUUAAAAAAAUCGUUUUAAAAGAAGAAACUUCAAUUCUACAGGUAUUAUUCAAAUGAAAUUAAAUGUUUCACGUAUGAACUAAAAUCCGUACCCACAGGACACAAGUAUCACAUCGUGCAGUUGGCACCUCCACCGCUUACACUUUCCACAAGGAAAAUACAAGUAGAAUGAUAGAAUUGAAAUAAUUCAAGCUCUGUUCCUUUGCAUUCACAACGUUGUGACAUUGUUAUUUCAAAUCUGUCAGGGGAGCUGGAGACAUGAAUUGUUCCGGAGCUGAGCUCAAAGGCAGGGAUGUUCACUGUCAAAAGCAGCAAAGUCCUGGGCGAUCGGGGACCGGCUGGUUAGCCUCCAGGAGGAUUGCAAACCACGAGAAACUGAACAAACACAAUGCAGUCACGUCUGUGUGCAUCAGGGGCCAACUAUAGAACAGAGAAUUUUCCAAAUGAACCUAGGUGCAGAAUAGGACGUUUACGAUCGGGCAAGCAAUGAAAAUGUGAACGUAUUCUUAAAACUCAAUUGUAACCGUGGUGAUUGUUUAGAACAAAGGAGUUUUUUCAAGGAGGAGUAUUUCAUCUGUGACUUCGGAUAGAAUUGAUGGGCCCAGGGACAACGACAAACAAGGCAGCUUUUGGUCCAUUUCAUUAUUAUUUUCAAAUUGCCUACAGACAUUGCAGGUCCCUACUGCCUGUACCGGGGAGGAGGGGGAGCGGGCAGGUGCUCGGUUGUCCGUCCCGUCUGAAACCACAGCUCCCGGUGAGCAGACACUUUAGUUCACAUUACAGCUGCCCCUGGGCUCUUGGGGAAAGUCUUUCCUGCAUCUGUGAGUGGGGGCAUCUAGCUGUUAUUUGGUAGGGUGGUUGGACGUAGGAAUCUGUGAGGUUGUUGGUUACUGAAUUAUUCCAUAGAUCAUAAGGUGCCUGCCUGGCUCUGGCCCUGACAUUUGAGAGGGGCUCAACCACCAGCAGUUGAGAACUCUCAUAUCUGCUUCCAUGUCUACCCCAGCCAGUUCCCGUCCCAGAAUGCCUUACUCUUAGAUCUUUCCUGAUUGCAAUUUGCCUCAUCUCAAAUCAGUGCAACCCCAGGAACUACAUUCCUGCAGGUCUGUUUACCUCUGCCCUUCUCCCGGGUCCCUUGGCCGUAUCCGGUCUUGUCUGGUCUUUGCUGCUUUGACAAGGCAGGGUAUUAGCAUUCAGGUGCAUUUGCUGGCCUGUCACCCCACGGAAUCGCAUGUUUCCUGGACGAUGAGGCCAUGUUUUCCCUUUGCUGCCUCCCUUUAGAAACCAAACACCCACAGUCCCUGAUAAGGUCCUCGCUUCUGAUGUUUGAGGUCACAUUCCAUACAGACUCUUGGUGCUGAUUUUAGGGUAGAUAUGUGGUCCCAGAUGACGUGUCAGGUGGAUGUAAAUCCUGGUUUGCCUGGGACAGUCAGCUCUGGUUUAUGCUGUUGUUCCCACAUAAUGAGUGAUUGUGUUCCCUUCUCUCGUGUCCUGGUUUGGCUGAGAAGUCUCAUUGUCCCCUCCCUCUAGGUGAUCCUCGCCUUGUCUCCCUAGUCUUCUCAUGACCUCAUGGGCACUCACCUCCUCCUUCACUGUCUCUCUCCAGAAUGCACCUGCCAUUUCUGGGAUUCUGGGAGUUCGACUGCCAAUGACCUUUCAGACGGGUCUGAGCCAGCGGCCUGGGCACUGUUACUGCUUUAAGCCAAAAGCAGUGCUUGGAGAUUGAAAGCAAGAUGAGAGCAGGAGGAGGGGAGAGCCAUGGGCAGAUUCCCUCUGCCUGGGACGCUCACAAAUGAACCUGUUUGGGCUGCGGGUGUGACCGUGGCUCUCUCGUACAGCCAGGAGUAAAAUCGGUAUCACACUUACUAAGCACAAUCCCAUAGUAAGGAUGAGAAGCCUUAAACAUGUUGCACCUUUCAUCUAGCAAACCCACUUGUAGGGCUUUAUCUAGCCACAGAUAUACUCUAAAAAGCAGGUGACGUUUUAGUCACAAAGGUAUUCAUGAAAAAUGUCAUUUAUAAUUUUAAAAAUUGGAAACACUUCAAUUAUCCAACAUGAGGGGCACCUGGGUGGCUCAGUGGUUG